CAAAUGAGCCACCCAGGUUCCCUUAAAAGAAAUUUUUAAAAGAAAAUUCACCUCUACUUCACUUUUUAAAUGGCAUAAAACAUGCUUCCUUUUCCCCCAUUCAAUCAGUCAGUAUCUAUAGUGUCUUAUAAUACAAGGUACUGCUGGGAAAUCACAGAUAUGCAGAUGAGUAAAAUACUAUCCCUAUAAUAACCAGCAACUAAUUUGUUUUAUGAAGCACUUUCAUCUCAUUUGAACGUUGCAACACCCUGAAACAUUCUUGUUAUCUUUUUUUUUUUUUUUUAAUAAACCAGGAAAUCAACCCUAGAGAAUUUAAAUAAUUUGCCUAUGGUUACUCAACUAGUAAUAGUGGGGCCUGACAUUUUAUCUGAGCAUUUUGACCCCAAAGCCUGGGUUCCUUCUACUCUGGAAACUUACAUUUACAUAGAGAAACCAAAGCAAAAAUAACUUCAAUACAUGGCAGAAUGUGUAAUAAGAGAGGUACACACACAGACACAGACAUACAGACAAACACAAAAACUAUUCAGGAGAAGAAGAUCAAUGGAGGGGAACAUUAUGACCAAAUUUGGCGAGGAGAGGGGAGCAAGCACUGGCAAAGAAAGAAUCAGAAAAGGUUUUAUGGAGAAAUAAGUGGACUUUGAGCCAAGUCCUGAAGGGAGAGAAGAUUUCUAUACAGGAUAAAGGGGAAGAGUACAUCCUAGGAUGAAGAAAUAUGAAUAAGGAGGCAAAAAAAAAAAAAAAAAAAAAAACAUAGACCGUGUUUAGUAAACACAUGAAAACCAGUUUGUUUGAAUAACAAAGUAUUCA